rnacentral:lncRNA from 1 species
GCCUCCGCCUCAGAUAUAUGACAAACAGCUGGAUGAGAGAGAACACACCAUCGAAGAAUGGAAAGAACUCAUCUACAAGGAGGUGAUGCUUUCGGAAGAGAAGACGAAGAACGGCGUCGUGAAAGGCCAGCCCUCUCCCUCAGGUGCAGCAGUGAACAGCAGUGAGAGUCUCCCUCCUUCCUCUUCUGUCAACGACAUCUCCUCCAUGUCCACCGACCAGACCCUGGCAUCCGACACUGACAGCAGCCUGGAAGCCUCGGCGGGACCCCUGGGUUGUUGCAGGUGACUAGCCGCCUGCCUGCGAAACCCAGCGUUCUUCAGGAGAUGACGUGGUGGAACACACACACACACACAGACACACACACACACACAUGCACAUGCACACGCACAUGCACACACACACGCACACGCACACACACACACGCAGACACGCCACGACAAGAAAAUGGCCAGGGAGAGAAUCCAAGCCUAAAAAUUGAAACGAAUCUUUCAGCCUGCUUCUUCUCCAGAGUUCUGUGUUGCAGCUAAGCCAAACGUCUAUUUAACUUCUAGUUGCUCUUUGCUUUGGUCUUCUUCCAAUGAUGUUUUUACUACAGAAGGCAAAUCCAACACAAUUAGAGAAGCCUUUUCCAUAAAGUGUAAUUUUGAUGGCUGCAGAACCAGCGACCCGUAACUGCCCUUUCAAAUGGCAUGACAAGGUUUGCAGUGGCCUCAUCCAGCAUGUGUGUGUCUCUAUCUUGCAUCUACCUGCUCCUCUUGGCCUAGUCAGAUGGAUGUAGAUACAGAUCCGCAUGUGUCUGUAUUCACACAGCACCACUCACUUAGAGAUGCUACUGUCAGCGUCCUCAGGGCUCUACCAAGACGUCAGGCACUGGGGUACCACACGGUCCAUUUCAUGUGAUCUAUUACUCUGACAUAAGCCCAUCUGUAAUAUAUUGCCAGUAUAUAAGCUAUUUAGUUUGUUAAUUGAUUAAGCUGUAUGUCUUAUAAGAAAUCAUGUAAAGGGGGGAUUACGGGGGGAGUGAGCUCUCUUGGACCCUUGAAGAUGUAGCUUCCAAAUUUGAACUGAUUAAAUGGCACCUGUAUACCAAUUCGUAGAAAGAACAUAUGUGAUGCUUAUGUACAGUGUGGGGUGGGAGGGGUUGCAGUUUCCAGGCACUAGAUGGCUUGGCCUUUGGGAGGAAGGUAGGGAUAAAAGCUGAGGGUCUUUUCUCUGAUAGCGAGUGGGUAGACGAGGCUGGAGGGUAGAGUUGCCGUGUGGAGGAAGACCUACAGGAGAUUAUUACUCAGAGACUGGGGGACAGUGACACUGGCACUCUGGAAAGGAGACCCCAUCUGUCAUUGACCAAUUAUGUGUCACAACCGGACAGAGAGUGACAGGCGGUGAGGCAGGGUUGUGUACAUAUCUGGGGUCAAGGAUCCCUCCCUGAAACAGAGUGGGCUUGCCUUCCUCUGGUAUCCUGAACAGAAAAUGAGCCUCCCUGGGCUAUUUUCAGAUUGUGGGGCGAGUUUUCCAUGAAUGUGCCACUUUCCAGGUGUAUACCUUGCCAGGGUUUUCUUUUGAGAGGAACUAUUACUUCCCUCUGCUGGUGUUUAAACACAAUAACAAUUCAUUUUAAAAAUACCCGAAGCCCAGGGCGAGCCUCAGGUCAGCAUCUGAAAACAUUGCCCCAGACAUUCCUCAGGGGUUUCCCCAACUCCAUAGUGUGGCUGGUGGUUCAUGUUUAUUUAUUCAUGUCCAUAAAUUUCAACCAUCCAAGGAGGGCUGAUCCUCCGAGUUUUGUACCACAACUGAUGUGACAGCAACAACUCUGCCCCGGAGGUACUGCUGCUAAAUACACUGCUUUAGCAAUACGAGUGUCUUAAAAGCCAUGACGCAUUUCCGUCAGAGGUGUGCAGCAUCUCCCCAGUUUAGCUCAGAUUAAACGAACGUGCUCUACUGAGCACGUAAGCAGACACUGUGAUGCAUCCUGCGGUGUCUGCCAGGGGACACCAGGGUGACUGCUCAGCAAACAUCGGGGCCGGGUCAGGGCUUCUCCUCUUCCUCAGUCUGGUGAAGCAUCCAGCACAGCUCUCUGCCCUCUGGUGGUUCUGGGGCUCAUCAGGGGGCUGAUGUGCCCCCUGAAGAAGAAGGGGACCCCGUGGAGGGGUGGCUGAGGCGUGUGAGAUGACUGGCAAAUGGAACCCCCUUGAAAACCCAGCCGGUGGGAACGCCAGGGCGCUGAACACUGCCUGAAACCCAGCCGUGGGGAAGCUGUGUCUCGUCCAGCGAUAGUCAGUCCCCUCCCUCGCCGCGGGAUUUCUUCACACAGUAGGAGUCCUGGCCAGAGGUCCCUUGUUUCAAGUGGAGAGAAAAAUCAUUAGACUGUGCAGCCUGUCUCCGGGAAUAGAAGUGGCCCCAUGUUUCCAUCUCGCUGCCAUUGUUUUUGGCUAUUAUUGCCGACAACCUGAGUUUUAAGAUGCUUCCCCAUUCACACACGCCCACUUUUACUCCCCCCAGUGUUCCUCCCUUCCCCCUUUUUUUUUUUUCUUAAAGCAGCUCUCCUCUGUAUUCCUGCAUCUUCACUCCUUUCUCUGUGCUCUUCUCUUGCUCUUCCUGUGGCCCCUCCACUCCCAGCUCUUUAGCCACAUGGGAUCAAGUGCAGAGAGCAGGCAGCUAUUGAGAGAGAGUGAGUCGCAAGGGAAAUUUCAUCAGCCAUAAAAUGACAUCAGAAGAUAGAACAUCUCCAGCCAGCCUCUUAGACGUGCUUGACAGGUAGACUCUCUCACAUCUGCGGAAGGGAUCUUUUUUUUCCCCACUCAGAUGAGACCAGGCAGGAACUAGCCAGUGCCCCUCCCCUGCUAUGGCUACCUCCCCGAAACUCUCCCAGCCUGAUCUCUCCUGCUGCAUGGCUCUCUGGAGGCAGACCUCCCCGAUGGGCAAGAAAAAAGAUUGAGCAAAUCCUUCACGGAUUGAACUAUUAUGUGCAAAUUGAACUAAGGGUUCGCUUCUUGACUGCUUAUAGGAUUGAUUUUGCGAGGUUAUCAAAGCAAGCUAGGUGAUGGGCCAACAAAGAGAAUCAUCAUUUCAAAAGCCCACCAAGAGCUUCACCAUCCUGGGGCCUUUUUACCGUAGUGUCUGUGAUUACCAGAUUUGCAGAGUAUAGUGUGUUUUGCACUGAGUCUUUUUUUCUUAAAAAGCAACAGCAACAACAAAUGGUUUUCUCUAUAGUCACCUGUUACUUCCAAGGGAAUUGCCAAGUCCCCUGGACCAUAUAUUCUUGGAAAAAAGUGAAGGUCCUGCCUGUGGUUGGGGUUCCUUUCAGAAUGGGAAGUUGACAGUCCGAGAAGCCUAGCCUCCUGUCACUGCCUAUGUGGCACGUCGUUUUACAGUAAUCCUUAAAGAGAUGCUUUGUAGUAUUUUGUAGGAAGGAUGAAUGUGUGCCCACGUGCAGGAGGAAGCAGAUUGCUGGGAGAGCUUCACAAAAGCCCCGCUCCCACUGUGAUAUUUUUAUAUGUAUUUUUGUGGGCCAAUGUGUUAAAAAGAGAAGCAUUGGCCUUCUAAUGCAAUUUCUUCUUAAGGAAUAAAAGCUGAUAAUAAUCUUGCAUCUUCAAGAAUCCGAUGACCGAGCUUUGGGGGAACGUACUUUCAGACAGACCAGGGCCUGGUCACUUCCCUCCAAUUAAACGAUUUAAUUGAGAGCCAAGGAGCUGCAUAUCUGUUAAUCUGUCACCUUUGUCAGAAAAAUAUUUCCUAAGGAUGCUGAUGGCAGCUGACUGGUAAAUCAGAAAUAAGUCCUAACAAAUGCAAUAGUAGAAUAGGUAAAAUUACAUACAUCCUUUUAUGACCUGCUGAGUGGGGGGGAUUAGCAAAACUCUUAAAAUUUUAAAUAGUCAUUGCAAACUCUAAAUUAUGCAAUAUCUAUUUCUAUUUCAUUCUCUUAACAUAUUAUAAUCUAAAUCUUAAAAGCAUUAUGCUCUGUAAACAAUGCUCUCAGCCGGCUUUGCAGAAAAAUGUAUCUUCUAUAACUCAGAGUAAGGAAUUAAAUUACCCUAGGAAUCUUGGAUCCCAACCACUUUGGGUCUGAAGAGGAAUCCCCAGCCCACUCAGAAUACCUCACAUGCAUUUUGAGGUCACUUUCCACAGAUAUCACUGAACCCAGUAUAGAAACUCCUUUCUGUAAGAACAGCAACCAAGCUACAGUGUAAAUAGUUAUAAUGAUUAUUUUCCAUGAGAUUAUAAGAUUUUGUUAUUUCUUUUAGCACUUGGACAGUUCUUUCACUGUCUGAAAUGGCUCACUUUGACCCAUUUCUUUGGUCAGCAAGCUGAAAUGGAAGGCCUUUGCCUGUAUAUGGACUCCUGUGCAUCUAACUUUUGAUUAUGUGGGACCAAUGGCCAGUAUAUUCCAGUGGACACAAAUCUCCCUCCCCUAGUUAGCAUUAAACUGUUCACCUUGCCAUGUCUGUCUUGCAACAGGACCUAACUUGCACCUGCCUGUUAUUCUGCAUGAUUGGACUCCAAAGACUAUUACAAAAGAUGAGCAUUGUCCCGUGUCCGUGUUUAUCAAAUGGACUUAAGACGCACACACAUUCAUUCACAUCUCACCCUUGCGGUUCGAGAUCAACCCUGGAAGGCAGAACAAUGCACGUCCAGUGGCUUUGCAAGGGUCUUAGUGGUGAGAACUAAAAGUCAGCCUGAUGGAUCAAAUGCACUUCAGUGAUGUUUAAUGAGGAUUUGAAAUUAUUUAAAUCAUUUCUGUGUUCUCUCUCUCGCUCUCUUUUGCAUUUCUUUUCCCCCCUUUGUUUUGAAAAUGUUGAUGGAACAAGAAGGCAAAUGGGGGAGAACUUUGGCUUUUCUGAUCUCUUUGUGGGUGGAUACUGAAUCGAUACAUUGUGAUUUCUGUUUCUUAUGAAUUAUUAAAACCAGAGCAAAUCUGCUUCCCGCGACAUAAAACCAAAUCCAAACCCAGACUUCGUUGGAGUUUGCCUUUUGCCAGUGGUUGUCGUGCUGCUUGUUGCCUUGGGUUUCAUGUCCUGACGGUAGCUCUGAAGCACCUCAGAUUUCACUGUGUGGUCUGACUGUGAGAGGGAAUAAAUAAGAAAUGAGGAACCA